rnacentral:rRNA from 1 species
GACGAACGCUGGCGGCGUGCUUAACACAUGCAAGUCGAACGGAAAGGCCCUGCUUUUGUGGGGUGCUCGAGUGGCGAACGGGUGAGUAACACGUGAGUAACCUGCCCUUGACUUUGGGAUAACUUCAGGAAACUGGGGCUAAUACCGGAUAGGAGCUCCUGCUGCAUGGUGGGGGUUGGAAAGUUUCGGCGGUUGGGGAUGGACUCGCGGCUUAUCAGCUUGUUGGUGGGGUAGUGGCUUACCAAGGCUUUGACGGGUAGCCGGCCUGAGAGGGUGACCGGCCACCUUGGGACUGCGAUACGGCGCAGACUCCUACGGGAGGCAGCAGUGGGGAAUAUUGCACAAUGGGCGGAAGCCUGAUGCAGCAACGCCGCGUGCGGGAUGACGGCCUUCGGGUUGUAAACCGCUUUCGCCUGUGACGAAGCGUGAGUGACGGUAAUGGGUAAAGAAGCACCGGCUAACUACGUG